AUUGAACGCUGGCGGCAUGCCUUACACAUGCAAGUCGAACGGUAACGGGCCUUCGGGUGCCGGCGAGUGGCGAGCGGGUGAGUAAUACAUCGGAACGUGCCCGAUCGUGGGGGAUAACGAGGCGAAAGCUUUGCUAAUACCGCAUACGAUCUACGGAUGAAAGCAGGGGACCGCAAGGCCUUGCGCGGACGGAGCGGCCGAUGGCAGAUUAGGUAGUUGGUGGGAUAAAAGCUUACCAAGCCGACGAUCUGUAGCUGGUCUGAGAGGAUGAUCAGCCACACUGGGACUGAGACACGGCCCAGACUCCUACGGGAGGCAGCAGUGGGGAAUUUUGGACAAUGGGCGCAAGCCUGAUCCAGCCAUGCCGCGUGCAGGAUGAAGGCCUUCGGGUUGUAAACUGCUUUUGUACGGAACGAAAAGCCUUCUUUUAAUACAGGAGGGUCAUGACGGUACCGUAAGAAUAAGCACCGGCUAACUACGUG
rnacentral:rRNA from 1 species